UCUCUGCCAGCAGCUCGCGGCAGUGGGCGUGGCCUGGAUGCAUCAGUGGGCGGGGUCAGGCGCCAGCGCAGGGAGCUCCGUAACCUGCUGCCUUAUGAGGACCAGAUGAUGUCAUAUCCCACCACUCAGGGAGGGGGCGGGGUCAAUGACCUGUACUACCAAUCAGACGACUGGAGGGGGCGGGGUUUGGAUCAGGCCCUGCAACGAUUGGUGGAGAGGGACCAGAGACGGGAGCAGGAAGAACAGCAGCGAGAAGCCUACCUGGCUGCCCUGCUCCGCCUCCUGAACGAGGCUGAGAGCGCGGGAUUGGUCGGACCAGGGGACGUGGAGUUGGUGGAGGAAGAGGAGGAGGAUGAGGAGGAUGAUCAGGGGCCACCAGGGGACUUCCAAGGCCCGGCCCCCCCAGACUACGAUGAGACGGGCCGGGGCAUGAACAUGGGGCGGCCCCGGGCCGCCUGGUGGGGCCUCCUGGAGCCCAAGCUGGCUCAGGCCCUGCUGGACAGGAUGGAGCCUCAGGUGGCUCAGACGCUGCUGCAGAGAGCCAGACAGGCUGGACGGGUAUCCUCAGGACCGACCCGAGGAGGAGACAGAGGAGGAGACAGAGGAGAUGAGGAAGCUCUGAGGCGUCUGGUUGCUAGGUUACUAUCCAGCAUCGGCCCUAACAACGCCCUGGUGAUGUCCUCUGGUCGCCGAGCUAGGAGGGACCUGCCUGUCAUACCUGUUAGCUCCACCCACAGGAGAACCCGCCGCUCCCUUGACGAUAUGACUCCUCCAUCGCCUAGCAACGACCCCCCUCUGCUUCGAGUUAAGAGGCUGGAGGGGGAGGAGGACGAGGAGGAGGAGGAGGAAGAGGAAAAGCUCUUGGCCCCUGCUGCUGAGCUGCAGAUGAUGAAACGCAUCAAUACCAUGGCAACCGCCGCCAUGGAAGAACUGAAUCAUGGGAGUCGUAGGCGCCGGAGGAGAGCUGUCCUGGACUACGACCCCCAAAUACUGAUUGAUCAGAUAGUGGAGUACAUGAGGGAGUAAGAGGAGGAAGAGAGGAGAGGAGAGGAGAGGAG
rnacentral:lncRNA from 1 species